UACGGGGGGGGCAAGCGUUGUUCGGAAUUACUGGGCGUAAAGGGCUCGUAGGUGGCCAACUAAGUCAGACGUGAAAUCCCUCGGCUUAACCGGGGAACUGCGUCUGAUACUGGAUGGCUUGAGUUUGGGAGAGGGACGCGGAAUUCCAGGUGUAGCGGUGAAAUGCGUAGAUAUCUGGAGGAACACCGGUGGCGAAGGCGGCGUCCUGGACCAACACUGACGCUGAGGAGCGAAAGCGUGGGGAGCGAACAGG
rnacentral:rRNA from 1 species